GAGUUUGAUCCUGGCUCAGGAUGAACGCUGGCGGCGUGCUUAACACAUGCAAGUCGAACGAAACACCUUAUUUGAUUUUCUUCGGAACUGAAGAUUUGGUGAUUGAGUGGCGGACGGGUGAGUAACGCGUGGGUAACCUGCCCUGUACAGGGGGAUAACAGUCAGAAAUGACUGCUAAUACCGCAUAAGACCACAGCACCGCAUGGUGCAGGGGUAAAAACUCCGGUGGUACAGGAUGGACCCGCGUCUGAUUAGCUGGUUGGUGAGGUAACGGCCCACCAAGGCGACGAUCAGUAGCUGGACUGAGAGGUUGAACGGCCACAUUGGGACUGAGACACGGCCCAGACUCCUACGGGAGGCAGCAGUGGGGAAUAUUGCGCAAUGGGGGAAACCCUGACGCAGCAACGCCGCGUGAUUGAAGAAGGCCUUCGGGUUGUAAAGAUCUUUAAUCAGGGACGAAAAAUGACGGUACCUGAAGAAUAAGCUCCGGCUAACUACGUGCCAGCCGCCGCGGUAAUAC
rnacentral:rRNA from 1 species